UACGGAGGGGGCUAGCGUUGUUCGGAAUUACUGGGCGUAAAGCGCACGUAGGCGGCUUUGUAAGUUAGAGGUGAAAGCCCGGGGCUCAACCCCGGAAUUGCCUUUAAGACUGCAUCGCUAGAAUUGUGGAGAGGUAAGUGGAAUUCCGAGUGUAGAGGUGAAAUUCGUAGAUAUUCGGAAGAACACCAGUGGCGAAGGCGACUCACUGGACACAUAUUGACGCUGAGGCGCGAAAGCUAGGGGAGCAAACAGG
rnacentral:rRNA from 1 species